rnacentral:lncRNA from 1 species
AAAUGGUCUUAAUUAACUUACAGAUCGUGCAGAAACUAAACAUCGUUAAUACUCUUGCCACCUUAUCCGACAGGCAGACACACCUAUCAUUAUACAGACCACACAAGAUUAACUCCAGUUUAAUCUAGAUGAUCAUAUUACAGAACAGAGCCAUAAGCACCCUAUUUCUGAGCAACAAGUGAUUAACUGUUGAGGAGCAGCAUAACCUUAAUCAACGUCAUCUCCAAUCCUCGACACACCGGCCCGACCUGCAGCAUCCACAUCUAUGCACUUGUCAGCUCACAACACCUCCAUGCUUUGCUCCAGCAUCUCCUUCUCAGCAACUUCGUGAGUACCUUCCCAAUAUACCAAAAUCAUUAUGUGGAAAUCAGCAUUCAGAACUCUGUCUAUUCAUUGUCACAUUGGUAUAAUAUUGACCACAACAACAUUUGAGGUAACAGCAAAUACAAGCUUUGAAGUGUUUACCAUUGUGAUCUGCAAUACAAGUUGGAAUACAUAGCCCGUCAAAUAGAAGUGCACAUAGAGAGAUAGAUCCUAAAAAAACUUAAGACUCAUGAAAUGAUAAAUAGCUUCGUGUGGCAGGACUUCAUAAAUUGCAACUACUAUAACGCAUUUCUAACUUGGGAAACUAAGGGUUCUAAGUAGCAACAAACAGAAAAUGAUGUGUGUCCUCUUACAAAAACUAAAUGUCUGCUUUUGGUGUGUGCCUAGAAGGAGUGAGAUAGAGGCGGGUGAGAUGUUUAAACUGUCCAAAAAUAUGGGUUUCCUGCCUCUAAUUUAUUUUCAGAAGAUUAUCUCAAAUCAAACAGUUACUGUGGGCAAGCUAUUCUCACUAUUUGAAUGGCAACUCCACUGAGUAUUUUUUGUAGGAAAAAGUCCCUUGAGAACUUAGUCAAGAUCGCGUAGGUUUUCUCAUAUCAUAUACAAGAGAUGCAUGCAUUUGUGGUAGCAAUGGCUCAGGUUUCUAUUUGAAUCAUACCAGCUAUGCAUCCUUAUGUAUCUAUCAAACUAAACAUAAGAGAAAUUUAUAUAGGAUGUAUCAUUUACCAAAAUAAGACUUUUCUGUCCCCUUAUAUCUAUCAAACGGAAGCAGACAAGACAAAUUCUUCUGAUUGAAUGAAUGUUUCCAAUGCAGGUCAACAUGGUUUCCAACUUAUAUUCUCAAUUAUCUUGACCACGAAAACCUUUUCACCAAAACAAUUGUGGCAAUCUAGUGCGCUUUACAAUUCUACAAUGCCUCCAAAAUGCCACUCAUAGUAGGCAAGAUCCUUUAUUUUACUUGUCUGAUUACCUAAGAAUGGCAAGCAGUGCAGAUAACCAAAUAAAUAAUCAUUGUUAUGUUCCUCAGCUUGAUUAGCGUUGCCACAAGCACAUGCCAAGUAACAACUAUCAUUGCCUGUAAAAAGAAUUAUCAAUUACAAUAAUGAAUACAUAGCAUCAGAAAGCUAUCUGAUAUGAAACGAGGGAGAUAACUACGAAUCAAAAGAAAGUUUACGGUGACGACAACAACGAUGGCGGGAAGUUACUAUAUGCGUGG